UACCUCAAAAAACCACAACAGUCUGUUUCAUCCGUAUAGUCUGUUUCAUCCUGAUGAUUCCUAUACGGAUGAAACAGACUGUUGUGGUUGUU